rnacentral:lncRNA from 13 species
GUGGUGGUGGAGGUAGAGCUAGCGGUGGUGACAGCGACACACCUCAGUAAUAUGAAGCUAUAUGUCAUCAGACGGGAACAGACCUCAAUAAUAUGAAUCUACAGUAGAUGUCACCAGACAGGGAUAUUGUUGUGGUGGUAGAGCUAGUGGUGGUGGUAGACUUUGUGGUGGCGGUAGAGCUAGUGGUGGUGGNNNNNNNNNNUGGUGGCAGUAGAGCUGGUGGUGAUGAUGGGAGAGCUAAUUGUGGAGGUGGUAGAGCUAGUGGUGGUAGCAGAGCUGGUGGUGAUGGUGGGAGAGCUAGUGGUGGUGGUAGAGCACAUAGAGCUUGUGGCAGUAGAGUUAGUGGUGGUGGAGGAAGAGCUAGUGGUGGUGGAGGAAGAGCUAGUGGUGGUGACAGCAACUCAGUAAAAUAAACUAAGAUGCCAUCAGUGGUGGUAGUAAAGGUAGUGGUGGUGGUAGAGCUAGUGGUGGUGGUGGUAGAGCUAGUGGUGGUGGUAGUAGACCUAGUGGCGGUAGGGCUAGUGGUGGUGGUAGAGCUAGUGGUGGUAGUAAAGCUAGUGGUGGUGGUAGAGCUAGUGGUGGUAGUAAAGCUAUUGGUGGUAGUAAAGCUAGUGGUGGUAGUAAAGCUAGUGGUGGNNNNNNNNNNUAGGUUGUAGAGCUAGUGGUGGUGGUGGGAGAGCUAGUAGUGGCAGUAGAGCUAGUGGCGGUGGCCGGGGAGCUAGUGGUGGUGGUGGGAGAGCUAGUAGUGGCAGUAGAGCUAGUGGUGGUGGCGGGAGAGCUUGUAGUGGCGUUAGAGCUAGUGGUGGUGGUGUUAGAGCUAGUGGUGGUAGAGCUGGUAGAGCUAGAAGUGGUGGUGUUUGAGCAAGUGGUGGUAGUAGAGCUAGUUGUGGUAGUAGAGCUAGUGGUGGUGGUAGAGCUAGCGAUGAUGGUAGAUCUAGUGGUGGUGGAGCUAGUGGUGGAUGUAGUACAGCUAGUGGAGGUGGUAGAGCUAGUAGUGAGGGUGUUGGAGCUAGUGGUGGUAGAGCUAGUGGAGAAUCUAGAACCAAAAAAUGUGAUCAUAUUACUCCAGUGCUAGCCUCCCUAGACUGGCUUCCUGUCAAGGCAAGGGCUGAUUUCAAGGUUUUACUGAUAACCUACAAAGCAUUACAUGGGCUUGCUCCUACCUAUCUCUCUGAUUUGGUCCUGCCGUACAUACCUACACGUACGCUACGGUCACAAGACGCAGGCCUCCUAAUUGUCCCUAGAAUAGCAAACAGCUGGAGGCAGGGCUUUCUCCUAUAGAGCUCCAUUUUUAUGGAACGGUCUGCCUACCCAUGCAAACUCGGUCUCAACCUCAAGUCUUUACUGAAGACUAAUCUCUUCAGUGGGUCAUAUGAUUGAGUGUAGUCUGGCCCAGGAGUGGGAAGGUGAACGGAAAGGCUAUGGAGCAACGAACCGCCCUUGCUGUCUCUGCCUGGCCGGUUCCCCUCUUUCCACUGGGAUUCUCUGCCUCUAACCCUAUUACAGGGGCUGAGUCACUGGCUUACUGGGGCUCUUUCAUACCAUCCCUGGGAGGGGUGCGUCACUGAUGUGAUCUUCCUGUCUGGGUUGGCGCCCCCCCCCCCCCCCCUUGGGUUGUGCCGUGGCGGAGAUCUUUGUGGGCUAUACUCGGCCUUGUCUCAGGAUGGUAAGUUGGUGGUUGAAGAUAUCCCUCUAGUGGUGUGGGGGCUGUGCUUUGUUAAAGUGCGUCGGGUUAUAUCCUUCCUGUUUGGCCCUGUCCGGGGGUGUCCUCGGAUGGGGCCACAGUGUCUCCUGACCCCUCCUGUCUCAGCCUCCGGUAUUUAUUUUUGCAGUAGUUUAUGUGUCGGGGGGCUAGGGUCAGUUUGUUAUAUCUGGAGUACUUCUCCUGUCCUAUCCGGUGUCCUGUGUGAAUUUAAGUGUGCUCUCUCUAAUUCUCUCUCUCUCAGAGGACCUGAGCCCUAAGGACCAUGCCUCAUGACUACCUGACAUGAUGACUCCUUGCUGUCCCCAGUCCACCUGGCCAUGCUGCUGCUCCAGUUUCAACUGUUCUGCCUUAUUAUUAUUGGACCAUGCUGGUCAUUUAUGAACAUUUGAACAUCUUGGCCAUGUUCUGUUAUAAUCUCCACCCGGUACAGCCAGAAGAGGACUGGCCACCCCACAUAGCCUGGUUCCUCUCUAGGUUUCUUCCUAGGUUUUGGCCUUUCUAGGGAGUUUUUCCUAGCCACCGUGCUUCUACACCUGCAUUGCUUGCUGUUUGGGGUUUUAGGCUGGGUUUCUGUACAGCACUUUGAGAUAUCAGCUGAUGUAUGAAGGGCUAUAUAAAUACAUUUGAUUUGAUUUGAUCUAGAAGAGCUAGUGGUGCUGGUAGAGCUAGCAGUGAUGGUAGAGUGGUGGCGGAGCUAGUGGUGGAUGUAGUACAGCUAGUGGUGGUGGUAGAUCUAGUGGUUGUGGUAGUGCUAGUGACGGUAGAGCUAGUGGUGGUGGUAGAGCCAGUGGUGUUGGUAGAUCUAAUAGAGCUAGUGGUGGUAGAGCUAGUGGUGGUGGUAGAGCUAGUGGUGAAUCUAGAAGAGCUAGUGGUGGUGGUAGAGCUAGUUGUGAGUGUGUUGGAGCUAGUGGUGGUAGAGUUAGUGGUGUUGAUAGUGCAAGUUGUAGCCCUUGCUACAUAUUCGUCGCCAGACCCACUGGCUCCAGGUCAUCUACAAGUCCAUGCUAGGUAAAGCUCCGCCUUAUCUUCACUGGUCAUGAUGGCAACACCCACCCGUAGCACGCGCUCCAGCAGGUGUAUCUCACUGAUCAUCCCUAAAGCCAACACCUCAUUUGGCCGCCUUUCAUUCCAGUUCUCUGCUGCCUGUGACUGGAACGAAUUGCAAAAAAUCGCUGAAGUUGGAGACUUUUAUCCCCCUCACCAACUUCAAACAUCUGCUAUCUGAGCAGCUAACCGAUCGCUGCAGCUGUACAUAGUCUAUCGGUAAAUAGCCCACCCAAUUUUACCUACGUCAUCCCCAUACUGUUUAUAUUUAUUUACUUUUCUGCUCUUUUGCACACCAAUAUCUCUACCUGUACAUGACCAUCUGAUCAAAUCAAAUCGUAUUUGUCACAUACACAUGGUUAGCAGAUGUUAAUGCGAGUGUAGCGAAAUGCUUGUGCUUCUAGUUCUGACAAUGCAGUAAUAACCAACAAGUAAUCUAGCUAACAAUUCCAAAACUACUACCUCAUAGACAAGUGUAAAGGGAUAAAGAAUAUCUACAUAAAGAUAUAUGAAUGAGUGAUGGUACAGAGCAGCAUAGGCAAGAUACAGUAGAUGGUAUUGAGUACAGUAUAUACAUAUGAGAUGAGUAUGUAAACAAAGUGGCAUAGUUAAAGUGGCUAGUGCUACAUGUAUUACAUAAAGAUGCAGUAGAUGAUAUAUGCUGAUACAAUUUAGGGAGUCUUGUUUUCAGAUUAGCCUUGUUAAAAUCCCCAGCUACAAUGAAUGCAGCCACAAGAUAUAUGGAUUCCAGUUUGCAAAGAGUCAAAUAAAGUUAGUUCAGAGCCAUCGAUGUGUCUGCUUGGGGGGGAAUAUAUACGGCUGUGAUUAUAAUCGAAGAGAAUUCCCUUGGUAGAUAAUGCGGUCGACAUUUGAUUGUGAGGAAUUCUAAGUCAGGUGAACAGAAGGAUUUGAGUUCCUGUAUGUUGUUGUGGCCACACCACGUCUCGGUAAUUAACCAUGAAGCAUACGCCAGUCCACGUGAUGGAAGCAGUCUUGGAGUGUGGAAUCAGAUUGGUCGGACCAGUGUUGAACAGACCUCAGCGCGGGAGCAUCUUGUUUUAGUUUCUGUCUGUAGGCAGGGAUCAACAAAAUGGAGUCGUGGUCAGCUUUUCCGAAAUCAUUUAUCACUCCAGUGUUAAUCUGCAAAAUUGUAAUUAUUCGCCUACCUCCUCAUGCCUUUUGCACACAAUGUAUAUAGACUAGUUUUUUUCUACUGUGUUAUUGACUUGUUAAUUGUUUACUCCAUGUGUAACUCUGUGUUGUCUGUUCACACUGCUAUGCUUUAUCUUGGCCAGGUCGCAGUUGCAAAUGAGAACUUGUUCUCAACUAGCCUACCUGGUUAAAUGAAGGUGAAAUAAAAAAAUCUAAAUAAAAGUGUUGGAACUAGUGGUGGAAGAGUUAGAGGUGUUGGUAGUGCUAGUGGUGGUGGUAGAUCUGCUGGAACUAGUAGGAGGUAGUGCUAGUGAUGGUGGUAGAUCUGCAGGAACUAGUAGGUGGUAGAGCUAGUGGUGGUGGCAGUAGAGCUGGUGGUGAUGAUGGGAGAGCUAAUUGUGGAGGUGGUAGAGCUAGUGGUGGUAGCAGAGCUGGUGGUGAUGGUGGGAGAGCUAGUGGUGGUGGUAGAGCACAUAGAGCUUGUGGCAGUAGAGUUAGUGGUGGUGGAGGAAGAGCUAGUGGUGGUGGAGGAAGAGCUAGUGGUGGUGACAGCAACUCAGUAAAAUAAACUAAGAUGCCAUCAGUGGUGGUAGUAAAGGUAGUGGUGGUGGUAGAGCUAGUGGUGGUGGUGGUAGAGCUAGUGGUGGUGGUAGUAGACCUAGUGGCGGUAGGGCUAGUGGUGGUGGUAGAGCUAGUGGUGGUAGUAAAGCUAGUGGUGGUGGUAGAGCUAGUGGUGGUAGUAAAGCUAUUGGUGGUAGUAAAGCUAGUGGUGGUAGUAAAGCUAGUGGUGG